AGAGUUUGAUCCUGGCUCAGGAUGAACGCUAGCUACAGGCUUAACACAUGCAAGUCGAGGGGAAACGACAUCGAAAGCUUGCUUUUGAUGGGCGUCGACCGGCGCACGGGUGAGUAACGCGUAUCCAACCUGCCCACCACUUGGGGAUAACCUUGCGAAAGUAAGACUAAUACCCAAUGACGUCUCUAGAAGACAUCUGAAGGAGAUUAAAGAUUUAUCGGUGAUGGAUGGGGAUGCGUCUGAUUAGCUUGUUGGCGGGGUAACGGCCGACCAAGGCGACGAUCAGUAGGGGUUCUGAGAGGAAGGUCCCCCCANAUUGGAACUGAGACACGGUCCAAACUCCUACGAGAGGCA
rnacentral:rRNA from 1 species